rnacentral:rRNA from 1 species
AUGGAUCCAGCGACCAAACUGCGAUUCGACUCGCCGCUCCUCCGCGUCUACGAGGACGGCCGAGUGGAGCGUCUCUUCGGCACAGAAACCACCCCGCCGGGCGUCGAUGCUGCCACCGGCGUCACCUCCAAGGACGUCGUCAUCGACGCCGCCACCGGCGUCUUCGCCCGCCUCUACGUCCCCGACCUCGUCGCCGCCGGCUCCGAUUCCCAGCGCAAGAAGCUCCCGAUCCUCGUAUACUUCCACGGCGGCGGCCUGGUCCUCGACUCGGCCGCCUCUCCGACGUACCACAGGUACCUCAACUCCGUCGCCUCCAAGGCCGGCGUCCUGGCCGUGUCGGUCAACUACCGCCUCGCGCCAGAGCACCCGCUUCCCGCGGCCUACGACGAUUCCUGGGCGGCGCUCAGCUGGGCCGCGUCGAGGGAUGAUCCCUGGCUUUCGGAGCACGGCGACGCCGGCAGAAUCCUCUUGGCCGGCGACAGCGGAGGCGCGAACAUCGUCCACAACAUAGCAAUCAUGGCCGGCACCCGGGAUGGUUUGCCGCCAGGAGUACGGAUUGAGGGGGCGAUCAUAUUCCAUCCUAUGUUUGGUGGUAAGGAGCCAAUUGACGGCGAGGCCAUGGACAUGAGGGCGAUCACGGAGAAGCUUUGGCCCAUAGUAUGCCCGGAAAGCGCAGACGGGUUGGACGACCCGAGGUUGAACCCGAUGGCUCGUGGAGCGCCGAGCUUGCAGAAGCUGGCGUGCCGGAGGCUGCUUGUCUGCUCGGCCGACGGAGACUUCGCGCUGCCGAGGGCCGCGGCGUACUACCAGGCCGUGAAGGCCAGCGGGUGGCCCGGCAGGGUGGAGUGGCUAGAGUCCAAGGGAGGAGAGCAUGUGUUCUUCCUCAGCAAGCCGGAGUGUGAUGAGGCUCUGCAACUCAUGGACAGGGUGGUCGCCUUCCUCGCUGGCAAUUGA